GUGAAAAUUUGGGUCCGCGUAUUUUAUCGACGCGGUUUGUCGUCUUCUCUAAAAGUGGACACAGAAAGGCGUCGAGUACUUGGCACAUGCUAGGCACGUGGUAGACUAAUAGUACUCCGCUUCAAAAAUUUUGGGGGAAAAACACCCACUCCCACCCCGUGUUAACUGAACCCUAGCCUCCCACUAAUCAACUUCUCUCUCAUCAAUUUGUAUUCUCGAAAAAUCACAGAUCCAUCAACUAAUUUCAACCACAGAUCGAGGGCUCUUUGGUUCCUAUUCGCGUUUUCCCUACGUUUGAAGCUUAUCUUGCUGAUAUUGAAGAUUUGGAAGGUAGCUUAGGAAAUCGUUAACCGUGUUUGGUUGAGGAGAAGGCCAACAAACAAGAGAAGGCUUCAGUCAUUGAUGUCACUCAGUUCGGUUUUUUUUAAGGUUCUUGGUAAGGAUGUUCUGCCUAAUUCUCAUCUUGUUGUUAUUUAGGGUAAUUUUAUUUCUAAAAUUGCUGAAGAGAAGAUCAAGGCCGGAGAACGGUGGGGUUGUGCUUCUCGAUCACUGCCUAAGUGUUCUUUAUUUUUAGAUAUUACAAUUUUGGUUAUAUAUUUGUGUUAGGAGGAACAUUUAUAUUCUUUUUGAUCUAUAUCUGGGAUUUGCUUUUGUUGUUCUUAAUUCAUUCCAUUAAAUGAUAUGAACUAGUUUUCAGCAAAUUUGGUUUUUAUAUUUAUGUUAAAUCAGAUAUUUGGGAUGUUCAAAUUGUCUUCUUUUAAUUUGAUUGGAUGAUGCUUUAUGGUCUGUUAAGCUUGAAUUGAAUCUUCUUUGGGUGUCCAAAAACAGUAACAUAUGGGCAUUAUUUACAGCAAUUUGUUGUCUUGAGACUCAAGUGAGAUUGAAGUGAAGCUUUAGUGGAAGGCAAUUUUUCUGUCUCCUUGUAUUUUGUCAAUGAAUAUGGGUUCAUUUAUUGGUUUAAUGAAAUGAAUUUCAUAGUUUGACCAUAUUUGGCUUAAAUUUUAUGGCCCUUAGCACCACAUGAUUCCCAAUAGCGAAAUUACGGU